AAGCUGCAGGCAGGGGGCGCCAACUCUCCAUUGACGGCAAAUGCAUAAAAUUGAGAGAAAACCUUUUUGGGCACAACUGGCAGACAAGUUAUUUGCUUAAAACAAUCACUCUUUCCUUGACGUGGUGCCGAAUAGGUAAGGUCAAAUUGGCUCAUGCUUUUCUUGGAGGCCAUGCAAUGGAACAGCAUCUCUCUACUAGAAUAAUAAGGCUUGGAGCUAACGGGAGAAUUUUAAAAAGUGAUUAAUUGUGGUUCUGAUAUCAUACCUAACAUAUCCACUAUGAGAAACUAAGUCAUCGAUCUUUGCCCUCACAGAGACCACGUCCAGGAAUUGACAUGAUGUCACCUGUCAAUCAUUCUAGGGGGGGAGAUUGUCAGAAACUUGACCAAUCGCCGGUCGCAAAUUGUCCCGAAGUACACGCCCCUGAUGAGGAACCGGACCUGACGCGGUUCAUCAUCACGAGCUGCAGUGAUAGAGGGAAAUAAUAGGAAAUCAUGAACUAAUGUUAUCAGCGGGGAACAUACAAGAGUCGUUACCAAGAUUAUGUAGAAGACGAAAUACAAUUUAUUACAUGUCCAACAUCCAAACAGAGUCUGGACUAAUGCAAGAAAUGGAUGAAGGCAUGUAGCCGAACUCAUGUCCAGUUGAAUAUAACUGUGGUAGACCAACUGCCACGUGUUCGUCUGCAAGAAGGGUGUACAUACCGCCACCUACCGGACUGGAGUGUGGACGUCAACGAUAGAGGGAAUUCAUCAAUACAUACAUCAGUGGAUCAGUGGUUGACUGAGAUGGAGAACAGGCACAAGGGGGAGCCAAGCAGAGGACGUGCGGUGCCUAUCUUAUCUGUAAUUAUUGUGUGACAUCAUCUGAGUUCUGCCGCCAUGUGAGUGGUGCCUGUGAGGUUUGUUUUAUGUCAAACGAGGGACCAAGCCAAAGAAACCCAGCAGCGUCUGGAUGCAACAGAAAGAGAAAACCAAAGUUUCCCAGAAAAUUAUCGCUUAUACCUCGAACAAGAAAUUAUUUUAAAUGAAAUAUUGACUUAAAAAUCUAGUGCAGUCUUAUUAAAUAAAACGUGAAUCAAUAAUUCAGUGUAAUUUAAAUUUAAUAUUCCAAAUGAGUGUUUUUAAUCCCACAUUCAAGCCCCGCCCCCUGAAUUUGAUUGAUAAAGAUGUUGUUGAAGGUUGAUACCUAUAUCUUUUUCUUUAAGAAUAAAUAAAUAUUUUAAUCAA